ACCAACAGAUUCCUUAUCACUCGUUCUAUUCUCUUACAAAAUUUCCUCGUAACGAAUGGAGCGCGUGUAUGUUAUCAAAAUCUCGUGUUCACGUUAACAAUAAAUUACCGUUAAAUUGUUGAUCUUACGAAUUAAUCGAUGAUUUUUUUUCCACAAAUUAUUUAUUUACCGGAGCCCAGGGAAAUCAUCAACUCCAGGGAAAAUAAAAAAAAUGAGAAGAUGAAUUAAGGGGUUACAUGGGUUUCACGGUUUCAAAAAAUCGAUUUUUUUUUUUUUGUCUAAUUAAAUUCUAUAACAUCUCUAGAAUAUUGUCCUAAAUUUUCAAAUUGAUCCGAGUAAUAGUUUCGGAGAUACAGCCCUGAAAAGACGGACGCUCCAGGUCAGGUAAUUCAAAGUGUCUAGAGCCGUUUAAAGUGUCUAGAGCCGUUUAAAGUGUCUAGAGCCCAGAUAAGCCAGAGUUCGUCAUCGACAGGAGCAAAAGGAUGCCCUGGACAUUGCAGCUGCAGCAGGUUCUCUACUUUAUGGCCCAGGAAUCGACGAUUCAAUAUAAUCCUGAAAGAAGUUCUGCUGACAACGCGGAGGCACCUUUUUUCCGAGGGACUGCCGGAAAUGGCGUCGUAAUGGCCGCCAUCUUGAUAUUUUUUUUUGAAAAUUUCACAAAAUGUUUAUUAAAUAUGUAUCUUUUAAAUCAUAAAAAGUUUCAUCUAAAUAUUUCAUUUUUUACAUGCAAAAAAAAUUAUUGAAAAAAGGCCGUUUUUUGCCCGACGAAA